CCUACGGGUGGCAGCAGUGAGGAAUAUUGGUCAAUGUGCGCAAGGCUGAACCAGCCAAGUAGCGUGAAGGAUGACUGCCCUACGGGUUGUAAACUUCUUUUAUAAGGGAAUAAAGUGUAGCACGUGUGCCUUUUUGUAUGUACUUUAUGAAUAAGGAUCGGCUAACUCCGUGCCAGCAGCCGCGGUAAUACGGAGGAUCCGAGCGUUAUCCGGAUUUAUUGGGUUUAAAGGGAGCGUAGGUGGUUUGUUAAGUCAGUUGUGAAAGUUUGCGGCUCAACCUGAAAAUUGCAAUUGAUACUGGCAGUCUUGAGUACAGUAGAGGUAGGCAGAAUUCGUGGUGUAGCGGUGAAAUGCUUAGAUAUCACGAAGAACUCCGAUUGCGAAGGCAGCUUACUAAACUGCAACUGACAUUGAGGCGCGAAAGUGUGGGUAUCAAACAGGAUUAGAUACCCGAGUAGUC
rnacentral:rRNA from 1 species